UUUCCUUAAGUUGAAGUUUUUUUUUUAAUAGGCUUAAUUGGUGUGCUGAAGAGAAAAGAAGGCAAGAUGGAAUCAUUCGACUUUUGAACAACAAAGUUAACAGAAAAGAUAGGCACCUCCUCUUUUACAAUUAAACUAAUUGAUUUUUUUUCCAUCAUCUUACCUCUUCUUUAAUGCUAAAAUGCUUGAUUUAAUUUUACUAUUUGUCUCUUCAAGUUUGUUUUCCUUCUGUUUAAGGGACCUCUACAUUUCAUUCACCUUGUCCUCGUUGCAUUUAAUGUUUUAUGCCCUUCACAUAAUACUUCUUCACCCUCUUGCAGUUUCUUUCCUAUUCCCAUAUAUACUCUCUUUGUUUGGUGAAUGCAGCUUCAUAUGCUUCUCACCUGUAACAAAGUAAAGUUCUCAAAUCAAAAGUUUUAAUAAAUCAUAAUCAAAACUUACAACAUAAUAUACCCUACAUUGGUGUUCACUCUGUAGCAGGCUUUCCUAUAAUUGCAAGUUUGAUUUUGAAAACAAUGUGAUGUGUUGGGCAGAUCCAUAGUUUAGGCAUGUAUAAUCUUGUUUUUGGAUUCCAAAAUUAGUAUAUUUUCAUUAAAAAUACUUCUUUUUUUCUCAAAUAAACACAAUGUUUCAGACGAGAUAAUAAUUUUAUGUAAAUAUUACUCUAAUUUAUAUUUAAUUUUAUUAAGGAAAGCUUUACUCUAAUUGGAACUUGAAGGGGGUGUACUGAAAAGGUUGAGCAUUUAUCAGUUAGAUGCAUUAUAUUCAUUUUUCACAAUGUGAGUAUGAUUUUUCUGCAGCGGAUUCACUUUAUACCCCACUAACACCCUUCACAAUCGAAUUGUUUGAUAAGAAUGUGAAUUGUGUUUAGCAUUAGGUUUGUUUCGUAACUACAUUCUAUAACUGAAACAACCACCAAAUAUAAAAUCUUAUGCCUAGUAUGUUGCUCGAAUUCCAGAUCCAUCCUUAAAGGAACCAGAGUGAUGUGCUGUAGUCAAAGGCCCGCAAUUUAAUAGUUAUGCUAUGAACUUUACAACAUUUAUUAAUAACGUAAAUAAAAAAUUUAAUAGCAAAUUCCCAAAAUCUAGAAACCUAAUUCAAAGUAAGAUCGGUACAAUUAGCAUAAAUGUGGAGCAAUAUUAAACAUAUUCGCCCUGAUCGAUGAAAAAAACUAACCUUGACACUCUAAUGCCAGGGAAAAGAGAGGGGCUUGAAUUAAUGCUAACCCCAUUGAUCAGUACUUUCAUUUAUCCAUCUCUGCAACUGUUGUAGAGUGUAAGUUAUUGGAGAGAGAGAUAUACAUGAUGGGUGUAGGAGUAGGAGACCGCCUUUUCAGCAACAAUAUGAAAUUGCAAGUCAGGGUUCAACACCAAACCAUCUAAGAAAUCAGCGAGCACACAAAACGACUUAAUAUUUGAGAAACUUUGAGUUUGUAGAUAUGUUAUUGCAACCAACCGCUUUUUACAAAACCAUCUGAAAAAAAAAGUUUCAACCAGAAAAUAAAAGAUGAAAAAUUAGAAAUCAAAAUGAUAGACACAAUCUGGCUUCAAAUCGAACGCUAACUCACC
rnacentral:lncRNA from 1 species